AGGGAAGGUGGAGAGGGUUCAAAUGUUUAAUGGCAACCAGUGAGGAUUUGCUUUAGCACAUAAAACAUAAAUUGUGAGUGCACGUGAAAAACUCUAAAAAGAGUAAGAGUUUAUGUCUGUGCUGAGAGUAAAGGGAGACUCGCCCAAGAAUAGAAUUGUGAAGAACUAAAUUGUGAAUAAAUUUAUGUUGCUUAGGGGUAAAAGAGAGAAUCUUACAUGGCAAAACUGAUACGCAGACGCACACUUCGGGUCCCUGCAGGAUUUACCUCAGUACUGAGAGGUAAAGGGCACCGUUCACGUGCGGACCGCGGGGGUCUCGCGAGAAUCCUGGAGCAUAAAAAAAAAACGUCACAGAGCGCGAAGUGCAUUCUGGGAAGUGGAGACUCAGGCAGAAUUCCGGAGAUCCAGUAAGUUCUGCGGUUACCUGCAGGGAGGCAGGAGUUUGUCACUUCUCUGCCUGUGAGGUACUAUGACAGAAAGACUUGGGGUUUUAUCUUGUGGUUAAUUGUGUUUCCUUAAAAUCCCUUUGUGGCCGAUGUAGAAUCUACCUCAAUGUAAAAUGACUUUCUGAAGUUAAAGAGGAAACACAUCUUGUUCCCUUGCACCUCCAGGGAGAGAGGGGUUCCGUGAACUGUAUCAUCAUGGAUACAUAUGGAUGGAAAAGAUGAAUGACAUGAAAGUUGGUAAGAAGAAACUGUUCAAACUGUAACACAGACAAGGAUAGUUCACAAUCACGCAUGAUUUCUUCUCCAUGGGCCUCCACUGGGCGCUGUGGAAAGACUUGGGCAGGGAGAAGACAGACUCCUCCACGACAUACAGUCCUACUGAAAUGUCAGAAAAAUAGAUGAGAAAUAUAUGCUGGAGAGGUUGCUGCUGAGGUGACAGCUCAUCUGCCCAGUGUCUCUGCACAGGAAAACCAAGCUUGUCAUUCGCCAAGGCAGAGAGCCAAAAUGGGUCAUAAAAGGAUCAUCAAGGUUAUCUUUAAAAGGACCACCAUAGAGCUGAGUAGAACAUUUCCAGACGUCAUAGAAUGCUAUCCUAUUAUACCCAAAUUCUCUCAGUCCACUUCACAGAAGCCACCAGGGUUUCAUUCUUUUAUAUUCAGGUUGGAGAUCCAGGACAUCAUUAAACCAUGAAAAGAAAUGUUUACCAGAGUAAGAGCAAUAGCAGUUUGACAAAUGUUUUCUGUGAGUUUGGGAAAGCAAUAUUUUUUAAAGGCCAUUUAAAUCUGUCAUCUCUGCCAUCCGGAGUAAGAGUGCUUUAAAAUGGACUGAUGAUAAAUAUGUCUUCAUAAUGCUAAAAUGGAGCACAUCAGCAGAAUCAAACAAGAAAAAUCAAAGGACCUCCACAACCCUAAACUUAAAAGCAUCAGGAAACAGAUUAAAUGCAGACUAUUUCCCUGAGGCUAAAAAGCUCUUCAAUCAUUCCAGUUUUAUUUUCAUGUUUUUCUUCACCAAAAUCUUGCUGAAAUAAAACCUGACUGUGGAAUCAUUAUAGGAUUUGUUGGCAGCGUGAUCGUUAAGAUUGUAUGAGCACCUCCUUCAUCUCCACGAUAUCUCCAUUCUUCUUCUAAGGCAUAAUAUAACAUUAAUAUUAUACCUUUUAUGGAAAGAAAUGUUUUUCUGUAUGUUCUAAAACAGGAGCCAGGGAAAUCACACAGCACAAAAUCCCUCUGAAAUUUUAAAUCAAAGAUAGCACUGUGUGUUUUAAAUUACUGUUGAUAUACGAGGCACUAUACCCGGAGCAGGGGAAAACACAAAGUGAACAAGUGGUGGACGCAGCCUUGAAGGGGGUAAGAGUUCAGCAUUCGUUCUCCUGCUUCCUAAUUCUUUCUGUUUUACUAUGCCAAAGGCCCUGUAUUUUUAAACAAGGCAUUUUCUUUUCUUUGUUAGUUUACCUAAUUGAUUAUGUGGAAAACCAAUGAAAAUACUGAAUUUACUGUAUAUCCAUUAUGAUAAACAGAAAAACAGAAAAUUAGUUUGGAAAACCAAAUGUCGUAUUAAUAUAUAGUAAUAAAUGUUCCUUUUACAGACUCACAUAAAGGCACACUCUAUGUUCUCGACACACAUGCACACUAAAAGUUUGAGAAUCACUGCUCCAAUCUAGUCCCUUAAACAUUAAAUUGAUGUUUCAUAAAAAUGAGACUUCCAUACUACUAUUUCAAUCCUGUUUACUUUGACAGACAGUGUCUGCAAGGAGACUUACAAGUAGGUAAAAUUCGUCUUUCUGUGGCUUUUCAGCAUCCUGACACCCCUUCCACUUCCCUUCUUCCCAAGCAAUCAUUUUGCUGAGAUUUUUGUUUUGCUGUAUUUUCACUUUAAUAUCUCUUGAGAGAGUAAGAUUUGGAGUACAUGUUCUUGGGCUGAGUUAGCAGUUCCUAGCUAGAAUACAAUUUCUGUUAAAUCUUCACCCCAUUACCUUUAAAUAGCUUAACAAUGUCAUUAAUUACUGUAAGUCAAAGCUGAAGAUUUUUAAAGAAAUUGUAAUACUUAUACUUAAUGGAUGUUUCAGGUUAGAAAUACUCAUGUGUCCUUUAUAAAUACUUGUAAUUUUUUACACUUGUCGUAAUAGAAUAAUAUAUGGCUUAAAUUUGGACAUUGAAAAAUAGAAGACAACUCUGAAAAUUGAAAUGAGUUUCCUAAAAGCCUUUUUUGUUCACUAGGACCCUUCACAUAGAAGCAUUUAGGUGAAGGACAAAAACUCAUCUAAAGAUACAAAUAAUUUUUAACUUAUAUGAAGCAGAAGUUAUUAAAUUUCUACAUCAUCAUGAGUUGCUAUUCCAUACCUUUUAUCUAAAUACAAAGAUUAAUUAUAUCAAUAUACAGAAGUGCAUAGUUUCGUUCUUUUUUCUUCUUUUUAAUGAUUCCUGUAGGUAUUUAAUUUACAGGUAGAUGCUUCCAUUUGUAUCUGAAGCUGGGUUUCUGAUAAAAAUAUUUCAUAUUGUCUCAGGGCUUCUCAGAGGUUUGCAGAAGUCUGAGCCUCUUCCAUUUUUUGAGAUUCUCGGUAUUUAUGUAAGCAGUAAUAAUAGAAGUGCCAAAGGUGGUUACAAAAACUGUGAUAUAUCCCCAAAAUUUAAACUAACCCUAACCCAUCUAUCAUAUUAAAAAGUAUUGCAUACGCUCAUUUGGAGAUAUCUAAAUUUGAGGUGCUUCACAAAUGUGAGACCCUGGAACAGAUGGCCUCUCCACUUCUACCUGGGCACUACCACAGGUUUUUUGUUAUCUAUAACUAGUGUUAGACUAAAUUGGAAUAUCUGAAUAUUCACUGGCCUUAAUGUCCCUGCAUUAGGGAAAGCAGAGAGGAUGGGGCAGGAACUACACUGGGCAGUGGUUGACUGCCUGUCAGUCGUCUUCUUACCUCUCUGCUGGGCAAGUAGCCCAGGAAUGAAAGGAAAUAUAGGUAACCUAUCACUCUGCUAUGACACUGGCUUAAAUGUCAUAUGUGCUCAAACGGGAAUUUCUGCAAUAGAGCUACAAGAUUUGACUAUCCCUUGGGAAAAGAUGGCAUAGGCCUAAGCUGUUUGUACUUCCAGGUGGAGGGUUGGAAGUAGCAGUAGCUAGUGAAGACAGCAACUCUCCACAAAGUAAUGGGAAUCUCUGGUCCAACUUAGCUGAAGAAAACCUCAAAAUACAGUUAUCAAAGCACUAAAAUACUUUAUUUUGUAGAAGAGCUUUUAUGUUUUGUUUCGUUUUAUUUUGUUUUUGCUUUUGUGCAGGGAAGAUGAGGGGAAAAAAGAAAAAGUGAAUGCCAUUUCUGAACCUGCCUACAUACCCUGAAACAUUUAGGAAUUCAUGAUUUAUGGAUUUAUGAGUCUUGUCCCUUCUCUGAAAUCUUAUAGAAGAGCCUGCCUGACCUCUUAUCCCUACAACAAUACAUUACAAGCAUCUGAAGGGCAGAGAAAGGACCCACUUUUCUUUUCUCAAUAUUGUAUUCCCAGAGCCAUUUAAUAGAAAUUCAGUAAUUUUUUGGUGACUAAAAUGAUGAAUGUGUCAAUGCUUGGAAGACAGAGCAGGCUCUCUGGGACAAGAGGUAUUAAUAUAUAGAAAUAAAUGUAGGUCCUUAACAUUCCUGAAAGGCACAAGACUUCCAGAGGAGACUCCAACGAAAAAAUAAAGUAAAUAAAAUCAAUCUAAUGCAUAUAUCUAGCCAAAGAAUUCUACCAUCCUGACAUUUUUGUAGGCUUCCAGAAGAGCAAUUGGUUCAGUCACCUCUGUAGCCUGGCUAUACAUAGAACAAGGAUGUACAACUUCCUAGCUUUUUAAAACAAAAAAAAAUAUUCCAACUAACUCAGGACAGUUGGGAUCUAACUGAAGGUCUUGCUGUAAGAAUCUAAAUGCUCUCAUAAAGUUCAUAAACAACCACAUGUUUUAUUUCUGUAUCAUUUGGGUCUCUUUCAGUUCCAAGGGACUGAAAAAAUGCAACCCCAAGCUUCCUUAAGGCAAAAGUGAAUUUAUUGAUAUUUAUUGAUUCAUGAUGUAUGAAAACAUGAAUCAAGGUAGAACUUGUUUUAGUCACAGCUGGAUUCAGAGCUCGAAAACCUCCAUCUGGGGUCCAGCUCCCAGAUCUGCCUCCCUGAGCCUCGGCUUCAUUUUCAGACGUCACAUGGUGACAAAAGAAGCUGUGAGCUCACAUCCCCAUCACACCAAGCCAAGUCCAGUGGAAGAGGGUGCACUUCCUUAAUAAGGGAGGCAAAAACAAAAAAAGUCCCAGAACCCUGCCUCUUUGUCUCUGAUUGGCCAGAGUGGAGCCACAGACCCCUCCAGCUACCAGGGGGCCGCGGUGCAAGAGUACCGGCGCCCAGACGCAGGUACUGGGUGGUUCCCACAAAACAAACGGGUUUUUGUUCGCAAGAGUCGAUGCUGGGAAGCAGAACCACAAAUGUCCACUACAAGUUAUCAUUCGUGGACCCCACUCAUGAAAGCUCUCACAUAUGUUGGUGGAAACAAAUGGCAUUUAAAAAAAAAAAAACCUUUCAAUUUAGGCU